GCUCUAGUGGCGCAACUGGUUAGCGGGUGGUACUUAUGGUGCUGAGGUUGUGAGUUUGACUGUCACCUGGAGCA